GACGAACGCUGGCGGCGUGCUUAACACAUGCAAGUCGAACGAGUGGCGAACGGGUGAGUAAUACGUGAGUAACCUGCCCUCUUUCUGGGAUAAGCCUUGGAAACGGGGCCUAAUACCGAAUAAAGGGGGAUGGGCUCGCUGCCUAUCAGCUUGUUGGUGGGGUGAUGGACUACCAAGGCGGUGACGGGUGGCCGGCCUGAGCGGGGGACCGGCAACAUAGGGACUGGGAUACGGCCCAAACACCUACGGGAGGCAGCAAUGGGGGAAAAUGCACAAUGGGCGAAAGCCUGAAGCAGCGGCGCCGCGUGAGGGGUAGAGGCUUUCGAGUUAUAAACCUCUUGCGCUAACGAAGGGGUAGAUGGAGAAGAAGGGCCGGCUAACUACGUGCCGGCAGCCGCGGUAAUAC
rnacentral:rRNA from 1 species